GGAAAGUACAGGAGAAAGGGGAGCAUGGGAUACUCACCUGUGUCUUCUUUCUUCUUUUCUUUUCCUUUUUCUUCUUUAAUUUCGUUUUUUAAUUUUGUUGCACGCCUCCUGAAAGCAGACAG
rnacentral:ribozyme from 1 species